rnacentral:rRNA from 1 species
GACGAACGCUGGCGGCGUGCUUAACACAUGCAAGUCGAACGGAAAGACCCUGCUUUUGUGGGGUGCUCGAGUGGCGAACGGGUGAGUAACACGUGAGUAACCUGCCCUUGACUUUGGGAUAACUUCAGGAAACUGGGGCUAAUACCGGAUAGGAGCUCCUGCUGCAUGGUGGGGGUUGGAAAGUUUCGGCGGUUGGGGAUGGACUCGCGGCUUAUCAGCUUGUUGGUGGGGUAGUGGCUUACCAAGGCUUUGACGGGUAGCCGGCCUGAGAGGGGGACCGGCCACAUUGGGACUGAGAUACGGCCCAGACUCCUACGGGAGGCAGCAGUGGGGAAUAUUGCACAAUGGGCGGAAGCCUGAUGCAGCAACGCCGCGUGCGGGAUGACGGCCUUCGGGUUGUAAACCGCUUUCGCCUGUGACGAAGCGUGAGUGACGGUAAUGGGUAAAGAAGCACCGGCUAACUACGUG